GUGUCAGCAACUGAAGUCUAUACAGGAAAAGGCAGAGCUGAUUCACAGGGAGAAACUAAGUCCUGAUGACAUCACCUGACCCCUGAAUCCAGCUCUGGCUAGCUGUGCCUGGACUUCGAAGUUAGAUGAGGAAACUGAAGCACAGAGUUAACUUAUCCAGUUACACUGUAAACGACAGAGGCAGGAUUCAAAUCCAGGCAGCCCGACAACUCCUACUUUUACCACGACACUGAUUCUGAGCCCACAAGCAACUAAGGUUCUAAUGCUAUUCCAACAGAGUAAAAACUCAAAGUCCAGCACUCCCAAAAGCACCAAAUGUGACAGUGAAAUAUCACCUUUUAAUUCUGAAACAGGGUUAACAUAGUUCUGCAUUAUAAAAA
ensembl:lncRNA novel transcript